GCCGGAGUAGCUCAGUUGGUAGAGCAACUGAUUCGUAAUCAGUAGGUCGGGGGUUCGAGUCCCUUCUCCGGCACCA
rnacentral:tRNA from 1 species